rnacentral:rRNA from 1 species
UACGUAGGGUGCGAGCGUUGUCCGGAAUUACUGGGCGUAAAGAGCUCGUAGGCGGUCUGUCGCGUCGGUCGUGAAAACUUGGGGCUUAACCCUGAGCUUGCGGUCGAUACGGGCAUGACUGGAGUUCGGCAGGAGAGACUGGAAUUCCUGGUGUAGCGGUGAAAUGCGCAGAUAUCAGGAGGAACACCGGUGGCGAAGGCGGGUCUCUGGGCCGAUACUGACGCUGAGGAGCGAAAGCGUGGGGAGCGAACAGG